GACAGAGGGUGCAAACGUUGCUCGGAAUUAUUGGGCGUAAAGAGCUCGUAGGCGGUCUGUUGCGUCUGCUGUGAAAACCCGGGGCUUAACCCCUGGCUUGCAGUGGAUACGGACAGACUAGAGGUAGGUAGGGGAGAAUGGAAUUCCCGGUGUAGCGGUGAAAUGCGCAGAUAUCGGGAGGAACACCGGUGGCGAAGGCGGUUCUCUGGGCCUUACCUGACGCUGAGGAGCGAAAGCGUGGGGAGCGAACAGG
rnacentral:rRNA from 1 species